CAUUGGUUUUGAUUGAAACUGUUGUGCAUAGCCUUAAUAUUGCUCAUGGAUUGAACCUGUUGCAUUCAUAUAGCUAAAGCUUUAAGAUUGUGCAUUCAUGUAGUAAUGCAUUUAAAAAUGAGCCUAAAGGUCUGAUUGUUGCUAUGCCAUAGUUAAAUCCAUCAGUGAUGUCUUAUAAGCAUUUAGAAGUUUGUCUAAGCUAUUUGGAUCAUUGGCAUUGAUAAAAACUAGUGAGCAUAAGCAUGAAUUGUGUCACUCUUGUCCCC
rnacentral:lncRNA from 1 species